CAGCGACAGACGAGCGACAGCGCGACACAAAGACUCAGCCAGGGCUCCCGCUGCGCGGGCACCGGGUAGAGGGUGCGGGGAAGGGACAGCGGAUCCAUGGAGGGACACAGGGCGGUGCGGUGCUCCACGGGGCCUCUCCCUCAAACGGUGUACAGGGGUAUACAGCCAAAAAAUCUGAGAAACGCGUGGAAAGAAGCAGAUUCCCUGUUACCCCGCAGCGCGUGAAGGUACCUUCCUCAGAGUUAAUGCCCAUGGCAAGAGAGAUUAUAAUGGUAUGAAGUCAUUCGUGGUGCAGGCUAAUAGAAGCCUUCUCUGUCAGGCCUAGAUUAUAAGGAACUAACCCUGUUUUUCAAACCCACCGGUAUUUAACUCCCCAUGAAACUGCAUUACUCCGUGGUCCGUUUAGGAUUUCCAUUUUGUUGAGUGCAAGCAGUUGGCUAGUAUGUCUCUGCCCCUUCCUGAGCAGCUACUACAUGUCUGUGAAUGCUUUGCAGGCCUGCCAGCUUCAGGAAAAUUCAGCAGCUGGAAGGGAGAAACAUGGGACAUAAACAGCCCCUGAUAUUUAAACCCCUGGAACCAGAGAAACUGUGGGCAACAAUUCCCAGUCUUCUCACCUCUGUCCUUCAGCCAUCCAAUUCCAACACUGGGCACAGCACACAACAAUGGCAAGACUGUGGUCUGGAAAUCCAUCAGACUCAAGCCUGCUAG
rnacentral:lncRNA from 1 species